rnacentral:tRNA from 2 species
AGGGGUAUAGUACAAUGGUAGUACGACGGUCUCCAAAACCGUGGAUGGGAGUUCGAUCCUCUCUACCCCUGCCA